UCUCCCUGGAGGUGGCAAGGACUGAUUUGCAAGGGUCACCAUCCGUCUCUUGGGGAUGGCACCACCCCUCCUCCCCAGCGUACACCCCACUUUAUCCACUCAACCUGAAUGUUUGGCAGCAUGAUGCUGCUUUCAUUCUCCUGACUUUCCCCAUUUUAUUUCAGAUCACAUAAUCUCGUAGUUGGUUUCCAUACCACCCUACCUCAUUCACGUUUAAAUUUGUCGAUACUAGUAUUUCACCAAGCACAAUACUUUAUGCCUACUCAUUACUUCUCUUGUUUCUUUGUGUGAAUUAUAUUCAUUAGUGUCUGUCCCCUUUUCUGCAUGAUCCCUGGAGGGGCACUCCAUGUCUUUUCAUCUUUCUGUUUAGGUGCUAACCUGGCUGGGACUAAGGUGAGGAAAAGGGAACACCUGGACCUAGUGAGGAAGCGCAUCUCCAAAAGUGCCAAGCAUGUGCCACUCCAAGGAUUCAACUGGAAUCCUAUGGCAUGCAGAUAUUAAAACCCCCAGUAUAUCAAAAAGGAAACUGAGGUUCAGAGAGGCCCAGCAAUUUAAUUGAGGUCAACUGCACUCCUCUAAAGACUCCAGUCCGUCAUGUUACUGCAGGUGGCUUACGAGAGAUGCAUGCCAAGAGACCACAGACAGGGAGAUACCAAUGACCCAACUCCACAGUAAGAGAGAAAGUGAAUCUGAAUUUGAUCCCGGAGAACCAAAUUUGGAAUUUAGCACAAAGGUAAAAGUGGCUGUGCCCUGUGCCAAAUGUCACAGGAGACCUGUUUUAUCCUCCCAACUGUUUGGAAACACAACUCUCCUGC